AUGACACUAUUAUUUUCCUUCUACAAACCAUUAUUCUUAUUCAGCAAGCUGAUGCUUCUAGCCCCGGUGAGCGAGAUUCACAAUCCAGAGACGAUGGAAAAGUCUUACAUUUUCCACGAAUAUCAAUUCCGGGUCAAUCUGCUCCUUGUCAGUUUGAUGUCAAUCGGCCAGAUAGUGUCAAUGUAUUACCGCUUUCAGGAGCUUCAUCCGAACGGAAAAAGAAGUGGAAAUCCCGAUUCCGACCACUUCAUCCCUGAUAAAAUGAUCAUUUUCGCUGCGUUCAUACUUUCCUCAAUGAUCCUGGCUCUCGUGGGAGUUGUUAAGACUAAAACUAACUUCAACCGGCUGUUGAGUCUCCACAAAACCUUGUGUCAUAUCGACAGUCUUCUGCAACGACCCUCUAAGCGCGGGAAAUUCAAAUACAUAGCUGCCUUCCUCAUAUUUUUCAACGCGACUCUCCUGGCCAUGGACUGCUGUGUCUGGAAAUUCACCACGGUCGAAAGGGUCAUUUUUUCAUUGUGCCUGUUCAGUCGACUCAUGUGCGCCACUAUUUUGGUCCAAUACGGGGACAUUGUGCUCAGCAUAAGGAGUAGAUUUUGCCACAUCAAUGUUGCGUUGCACCAGGAGCUUGCCAAUUACUUUCGACAAGACAUUAUUUGGAUCGUUAGUAGACGGAAAAAUUUGCUACCAGCUCGUACCAUAGCGCGGCGACGAGUAGGCGAGUUGUUUCAGCUUUUCUGGUACACGACUCGCUGCGUGAAGCUGGUGAAUGAAGCCUUCGGGGGCCUGAUUUUCGGAAUGAUAGUGAUGACUUCAUUCCAGCUCAUCGGCAUCCCCAUUUUUUGAUCUCCAUGUUCGACAACACGACGAAGCUCUCGGUCGAGCACAAGCUUUGCGCUCUUUGUGACUUUUUGUGGAUGUGCUGCUUCUGCUUCGCUCUCUCUGUUCUCGUCAUACCCCCGGCCCUGGCUUCCACAGAGGCGAGUAUAAUGUCAUUUUAUCAGACUUGG
rnacentral:lncRNA from 1 species